GAAAACAGGAAUACAUUUUCAUGACAUGCUGUCAAAUAAUUAUCAUUAGGGAAACAAAAACAAAAACCCCAAAAACUCACACAUCAACUUCCUGUAGCUUCGCUAUACACUAAGGCUCUCAAUUCACCAUGGCCUCUGGGAUGGAGAAUAGAAACACUGACAUGGAAAUGUUGCUCUAUGUGUUGGAAGUUUUCUUUGAAACAAAGUCCUGUUAAUAGCAUCUUCCAGUCAUUUCAAUACUCUCUGUACCAGGGAAACAGAAAGACUCCAUUCAUUAGGAAUAAAUUAUUAACUUAAAUCUUCAAAGGAAAGGUUUGAAAAAAUGUUCACCAAAUUCACAUAGCAGCGCAGCGGCGCAGAGCCCCGUGCCCUUGUUUGUGUGCUAUUACAGCUAUUAUAACUAAUUGAUGCACUAGCAGUUAAUUAGCAGCCUGGAGUCCCCAAAAUGUUUUCCAGGACAAUUAUGCUGUGCUGCUUUCAAAGGACUCCACGUCUGAGAGCCGCAUUUGGCUACCUCCACUUUGUGGUCCUGUCGUCACCCAACGCACUCCUCAUGGCUUCCACGGAGGAGAAGGAAAGAGACCCUGCCAUUUGUGACAAAAUGCAGGAGCUAGAGGACUUACACUAGAAGAGACAAUAGAGAGGUUCUCUGAUCUCUGUAAUACAAAUUCACCUCAGAGGCAGAGACAGAGACAGAGACAGAUGGAAACCAUGGCUGUGGAAUAGAGGUGGUAUUGAGGAGGUGUCAGUCAAAGGUACAGCAUCUCAGACAGGAGGAGCAAGUUAUGGAGACCUGAACAGCAUGCUGAGGAGUUGACAGCAUUUGUCACACACUGAAAGUUGGAAAGAGAGGAAAUUUCCCAUGUUUUCACCCUGAAAAAGUGGCAAGCUUUAGUGGAUAGACAUGUUAAUCAAUAUAACUUAAUCUUUCCAAAAUGAAUCUCAUCACAAACAUCAUUUUUGUGCUCACAAAUAUAAGUGGAGCCAACUACAACAAAUGCUUCAACCUGGUGAACAGAAAGAAGAGAAGCCAUGGUGAGGCAAGAAAACAAAGUCUCCAGACCUUCAAUAUGGAACCACAAUACACUUUUAUUUUUCUCACAUCAUGUUAUGUACCAUCUUAUAUCACAUAUCCAUAUGUGGAACUUUUGUCAUUGUAUCUUAGCAAAGCUUUUAGGGAAGGCAAACGUGUCUGGAAACUGAGGCACAGUAGCUGCUCAUUUCCGUGCUGGAAGCACCCUCAUUGCCCAGUAUGCAGAUGUGCUGACACAGUGGCUGCCUGUGUGGCCACCUCACCCCACCAUCCACUCACCUGUCACAUUGGCUGAGUCUCAGAGGAGAACCAAAUAUGACUUUCCUCAGACAUCAUGCUGGACCUCAUGCAGCUGCUGUACAGAAAAGAGUAUGGCACAUGGCCUGACAGCUCCUUCUUCUGCCUCCCUGAACCAGCUGGGGCUGCAAAACCACCAUUCUCAGAAGAUAACACUUGCCUGAGCGUUUGCAGGAGUACCACUCUGUUCUUUGUGGGCUAGUGACUCAGCCAGACAGUCAUGUCCUACACACUGCUUCUUCUGUGCUAACAUGCUGAGUGUCUUGGAGAGUCAGGCCCACCAUGUUCACAUGGUCUUUCCUUCUAACAGAGUUCCCAUUAGAUCUUCCGGAGGGUACCAGUCAUGACAUUGUGAGAUUGGACCCUGGGAAGGUGUUUUCACAACAGAAAAAGAGCAUAUCCUGCUGAAAAUGUACCUACUGAGAUGAUGCAAUUUCAUCUGUAAAAAGAACCUUAUUCAGAAAUCGUCAGUGACAUGAUACAGCUAAUUAAGGCAUGCAUGGUGCUAGCAGUUUCAUUAGAGGGGAUAAUAUUGCACAAGAAAAAUAAGAAAUCAUUAUGAUGGAUGUCCCAACAUUACAUUACAUGUUAAUGAAGUGUAAAUGAUCUAAUUAUU
ensembl:lncRNA